rnacentral:rRNA from 1 species
ACAUGCAGUCGAACGAGCUUCCGUUGAAUGACGUGCUUGCACUGAUUUCAACAAUGAAGCGAGUGGCGAACUGGUGAGUAACACGUGGGGAAUCUGCCCAGAAGCAGGGGAUAACACUUGGAAACAGGUGCUAAUACCGUAUAACAACAAAAUCCGCAUGGAUUUUGUUUGAAAGGUGGCUUCGGCUAUCACUUCUGGAUGAUCCCGCGGCGUAUUAGUUAGUUGGUGAGGUAAAGGCCCACCAAGACGAUGAUACGUAGCCGACCUGAGAGGGUAAUCGGCCACAUUGGGACUGAGACACGGCCCAAACUCCUACGGGAGGCAGCAGUAGGGAAUCUUCCACAAUGGACGAAAGUCUGAUGGAGCAAUGCCGCGUGAGUGAAGAAGGGUUUCGGCUCGUAAAACUCUGUUGUUAAAGAAGAACACCUUUGAGAGUAACUGUUCAAGGGUUGACGGUAUUUAACCAGAAAGCCACGGCUAACUACGUGCCAGCAGCCGCGGUAAUACGUAGGUGGCAAGCGUUGUCCGGAUUUAUUGGGCGUAAAGCGAGCGCAGGCGGUUUUUUAAGUCUGAUGUGAAAGCCUUCGGCUUAACCGGAGAAGUGCAUCGGAAACUGGGAGACUUGAGUGCAGAAGAGGACAGUGGAACUCCAUGUGUAGCGGUGGAAUGCGUAGAUAUAUGGAAGAACACCAGUGGCGAAGGCGGCUGUCUAGUCUGUAACUGACGCUGAGGCUCGAAAGCAUGGGUAGCGAACAGGAUUAGAUACCCUGGUAGUCCAUGCCGUAAACGAUGAGUGCUAAGUGUUGGAGGGUUUCCGCCCUUCAGUGCUGCAGCUAACGCAUUAAGCACUCCGCCUGG